rnacentral:rRNA from 1 species
UAAUACGUAGGUGGCAAGCGUUGUCCGGAUUUACUGGGUGUAAAGGGCGUGUAGGCGGGAUGGAAAGUCAGAUGUGAAAUACCGAGGCUCAACCUCGGGGCUGCAUUUGAAACUUCCAUUCUUGAGUGCAGGAGAGGAAAGCGGAAUUCCUAGUGUAGCGGUGAAAUGCGUAGAUAUUAGGAGGAACACCAGUGGCGAAGGCGGCUUUCUGGACUGUAACUGACGCUGAGGCGCGAAAGCAUGGGGAGCGAACAGG